UCAUGAGUAGAAGAGACUUAAACACUCGAAAAAUACUUAUAAAAGUAUUUAAAUUUUUGCGUAAAAAAGUAUUGACAUUUAAAUCUGUUUAAGGACAGUAGCGAAGUUUGAAGACAAAGCAUACAUAUUCAAGAUAUAUCUUUUCACCAUGGAACCAAACUCUUGGGGUUGUAUGUUAAUGUUUGCACUAAUUUGUUGACUAAAAAUUGUCUAUAUAUAUGACUAGAAUAUUUGUAUCACACUUUGGAUGUCUAACCAAUUAAAAAUCCCUUGCCGCAUUUGAGCAAAAGAUGAACACUAAAAAAAUAAAUGUUGCAGAGUUUCAUCACACCUCUACAAACCAAGCUAUAUGUAAUCUAUUAUUUGAAAGCUUUAAUGCAUGCAAAGACACUUUUAUAGGAACUAUGUGAAUGUGAUUCCAAAGACAGGCAUGUAAGGAAGAACCAUCAACAUUGCCUCUUUGAACUUUUACUCACUAGCUUUUAUAUACUUUUUACAAAUUGCUCACUCUCAUGAACAAUAUUUUCAAAAUCUUUUAUCAUCUCAUCUUUGUUGCAUUUAUU
rnacentral:lncRNA from 1 species